rnacentral:ncRNA from 1 species
GAGACAUUCUCUCGAGGGACCGAAAGCAAAAACAAAAGGCUGGACCAUCCUCGAUGUUGAAAUCGCUAGUAAUAGCGGAUUAGCAUGCCGCGGUGAAUAUGUACCCGGGCCCUGUACACACCGCCCGUCACACCCUGGGAAUUGGUUUCGCCUGAAGCAUCGGACCAAUGAUCACCCAUGACUUCUGUGUACCACUAGUGCCACAAAGGCCUUUGGUGGUCUUAUUGGCGCAUACCACGGUGGGGUCUUCGACUGGGGUGAAGUCGUAACAAGGUAGCCGUAGGGGAACCUGUGGCCA